rnacentral:rRNA from 2 species
GAGUGAUCGAAAGAUGAAAAGCACCUUGAAAAGAGGGUUAAAUAGUACGUGAAAUUGUUGAAAGGGAAGCGCUUGUGACCAGACUUGGGCGCGGCGGAUCAUCCGGGGUUCUCCCCGGUGCACUUCGCCGCGUCCAGGCCAGCAUCAGUUCGUCGCGGGGGAAAAAGGCUUCGGGAACGUGGCUCCCUCGGGAGUGUUAUAGCCCGUUGCGUAAUACCCUGCGGUGGACUGAGGACCGCGCAUCUGCAAGGAUGCUGGCGUAAUGGUCACCAGCGACCC